rnacentral:rRNA from 1 species
UCAUUGUCGAUGCCUCGCAAACAAGCGCGACCGGCGAACGAGUUUUCCACGUACCCGGGCAUUCGGGGUUGCCGGAUGCCCACGGCGCCGGGGACUGCCCCCUCGGGCGGGCCUUCCCGGCGUCGCAACAAAACCCCGGCGCCGAACGCGCCAAGGAACACGAAACACGUAGAGCGCGCGCCCGUCCGGGUCGCGUCGCCACGCGCGAGUCCAAAAUGACUCUCGGCAACGGAUAUCUCGGCUCUUGCAUCGAUGAAGAACGUAGCGAAAUGCGAUACUUGGUGUGAAUUGCAGAAUCCCGUGAACCAUCGAGUCUUUGAACGCAAGUUGCGCCCGAAGCCAUUAGGCCGAGGGCACGCCUGCCUGGGUGUCACUAACCGUAUCCCCGAAACCCCGACGCGCUCGCCGGGAAGGGGCGGGGCAAGAGCUGGCCUCCCGGGAGCAACGAUUCCCGGUUGGCUGAAAGUCGGGUUUGCGGCCGGGGUCCGCGCGACGCACGGUGGUUGAGCGCAUCUCGAGGCCAAGUCGUGCGCGUCCCUUGCCGUAUUCGAACCCCCCGUGACCCGUGAGCGCCACCGGCUGCUCGUGACGCGACCUCAGGUCAGGC